GUUGUUUUCGUCGUUUGGUGGCAGAGGGAAGGCAGGUCUGCUUGGCCACAGGGCACAGCUGGGGUCAGCAGGGCGGACGCGUUAAAUCUUGGCCCUGCUCGGCCGGAGACCAUCAAAAGAUCGCCAGGCUUGGAGGACGGCUGCCCCCCCUUGCGAAAACGGCAGGGGACGGUCCCUUGGAAACAGCCCAGCAACAGAAGGCGCCAUUGAUCUGAACAGGCCGCAGUCUUGUCCAGAGGGCAGAGCGGUUCAAUAGGGGGCCAGAAGCAGCCCACCUGCAUCAGGAUAAACAGAAGGGUCAGUGUGGAAAGAAUGAGGGGAAGGAGCUGAAGGAAUCCUGCUGAGGCACAAUGGGUGGGUGGGGGCUGGAGAGAGGCUGCAGAUGUUUUGGCUUUGGAAAGCAGAUCCCCCCCUUCCAGCUGCAGAUCUGAAGCUGCCUGGGCUGCACUGUGACGGGCAGGGGGUGGAAGAACCAUUAACUACAAACCCCCAAAUUUUGUUUGAUGCACCAAUUGGUCAGUUGGUAGGGCGCUGCAAAACAAGGGUUUUUCCCCACUGCUGAACAGCAGCAAAACUUUGGCGCAGGUUUGGAGGGG